GCCGACGGUGCCCCGCACCGCCGUGGUGACGUGCGACUCCCGGUGGUCCAGCAGCUUGGCCAGCCCGAAGUCGCCGACGACGGCCUCGCACGCCUCGUCCAGCAGCACGUUGGCGGCCUUGACGUCGCGGUGGAUGAUCUUGGGGUCGCACUGCUCGUGCAGGUACACCAGGCCCCUCGCCGCCCCCACCGCGAUCCUCCUCCUCGUCCCCCACUCCAACGCCGGCUUCGCUGCAUGCGAUUUUAUAGCGGGAGGCGACGCUGCCGUUGGACAUGAAGGGGUAGACUAGGAGGCGCUCGGUGGCGGUCAUGCAGAAGCCGUAGAGGCGGAGGAGGUUGCGGUGGAGGGCGAGGCUGAUCAUCUCCACCUCCGUCUGGAACUGGGCCUCGCCGCCGGCCGCGUUGCCGUCCUUGAGCCGCUUCACCGCCACCAGCGUCCCGUCGGGGAGCUGCCCCCUGUACACGUUCCCGAACCCUCCUUUCCCCAGGAUGUUC
rnacentral:sRNA from 1 species